GACGAACGCUGGCGGCGUGCUUAACACAUGCAAGUCGAACGGAAAGGCCCUGCUUUUGUGGGGUGCUCGAGUGGCGAACGGGUGAGUAACACGUGAGUAACCUGCCCUUGACUUUGGGAUAACUUCAGGAAACUGGGGCUAAUACCGGAUAGGAGCUCCUGCUGCAUGGUGGGGGUUGGAAAGUUUCGGCGGCUGGGGAUGGACUCGCGGCUUAUCAGCUUGUUGGUGGGGUAGUGGCUUACCAAGGGUUUGACGGGUAGCCGGCCUGAGAGGGUGACCGGCCACAUUGGGACUGAGAUACGGCCCAGACUCCUACGGGAGGCAGCAGUGGGGAAUAUUGCACAAUGGGCGGAAGCCUGAUGCAGCAACGCCGCGUGCGGGAUGACGGCCUUCGGGUUGUAAACCGCUUUCGCCUGUGACGAAGCGUGAGUGACGGUAAUGGGUAAAGAAGCACCGGCUAACUACGUG
rnacentral:rRNA from 1 species